rnacentral:rRNA from 1 species
CCCAGUUCGGAUUGUAGUCUGCAACUCGACUGCAUGAAGCUGGAAUCGCUAGUAAUCGCGAAUCAGAAUGUCGCGGUGAAUACGUUCCCGGGUCUUGUACACACCGCCCGUCACACCAUGGGAGCCGACAACGCCCGAAGUCAGUGACCUAACCGAGAGGGAGGAGCUGCCGAAGGCGGGGUUGGUAACUGGGGUGAAGUCGUAACAAGGUACC